AAUUGCAUGGAAUACUCACCACCAUAAAAAAGUGCUGAUUUUGUUACUUUCACCUGUUCCCUCUCCUGGGAUGGAACGAAAUAAUGAACUCCAAAGGUUGGAAGUAAUAUUGGAAUUGCAUGGAAUUCUUACCACCCCACCAAAGAAGAGCUGGUUUUGUCACUUCUGCCACUCCUUAUCUAAGAAGAAAUCCAAUGAUGCACUCUCAAGAAUUUUUGCAUUUUCUCAGUCUUCCUACUAAUGCCUCAUACAGGAAUUAAGCAUGGAGACAAAGGGUAACAAGGAUAGAGCUCAGGUUUCCUAUGAAGAUGUUUAUUCCUUCCACUUAAGAUGCGACAUGAAGGAAAGGCCCAUCCUAAGAGGCCAGUGGGAAUUCUCAAGUCAGUAAGCAUUUGUCCCUAAAAUAUUGACCUUCCUUCUAAGGAUUAUAUAAUAUUCCAAUUACCAUAAGGCACUGUCUAUGAUAAUCAGCUGUGGAGCCUGGAUCACUGAUGUGGGGUCUGGUCUCCAUAACUGAGUAGAGUAGAUAAGGGAUGAACUUCAGAGUUUCUUUCACUUUCUGAGGUGAGCAGUGCCCUAUUUUAGAAACUCAUGUGUAACAAUGAUUGCUAUAAUAAUUUAUCACAUUUAAAAAUCUGAACAAAAUGAGUUACAUAAUUACUUCUGUGAAACUGAGGUCUAACAUAGAUACCAACCCUAAGCAAAAUAUUUACAGGGUGAAGAUCAGUGAUUUCAUUUGUGUGGUAUCAGGAAGAACUGUUGUAUUAGAAAGCUAAGCUGCUUGCAUGCAUUAGAGGAACUAAACUGUACAGUGUCUAUUCAUAUCUAAUUUUCAGGUGAAAUUACAAUCCUUUGG